rnacentral:rRNA from 1 species
UACGAAGGGUGCAAGCGUUAAUCGGAAUUACUGGGCGUAAAGCGUGCGUAGACGGUUAUUUAAGUCAGGUGUGAAAGCCCCGGGCUCAACCUGGGAAUUGCAUUUGAGACUGAAUAGCUAGGGUGCGGAAGAGGGAAGCGGAAUUUCCGGUGUAGCGGUGAAAUGCGUAGAUAUCGGAAGGAACGCCAGUGGCGAAAGCGGCUUCCUGGUCCAGCACCGACGUUCAGGCACGAAAGCGUGGGGAGCAAACAGG